CAGUGUCCUGUGCAUUCACUGCCGACCUGCUCCAGAGCUAAGGGGAAAGGUAAAGGCCACGCAGUCACGGCCUGGGAUGGAAAUACACAGCGAGGUCACCCAAAGAACCGCAUCCCUCUCAUCGGCUCCUCAGACUCCCCAUAGAGAUAAACCUCACUCAGCUCCUGUGCCUCCCCCCGACCCGAGCACAAACCAGGAACAUCUGCCAGGAUCCGUCUCCCCCAUCCUGGCGUAAACCAGAUGCAAUCCCACAGGAACCCCUUGACCCAUCUACACCCGCGUGAAGUUGUUGGGAGAGGAGAAUCAGAGCACUGGCCUCUAGGUGUGUUAGCAGGAAAUACACCGACACAGAGAGAUUCUGAUCCCCCAGCCGGAUGUCAGCUCAAGGCCCCUGUCUUCACACCGAACCGUCUGCCCCACGGUAGCUCAGGCUCAUUGAAUCAGUGGGGCCAUUGGCAGCAGGAUGAGGAAUGACGCUCUGCCGCCGGAAAUGGAGAGGGACUGGUGGAAGAGGCUGUGGUCGUAUACGAAGGGUGAGGGUUCGCCUGGUGGUUCUAUAUACACCUAUGGAAACAUCCUUGUUAAAGUAACUCAUAGACUCAUAGACUCAAGGACUGGAAGGGACCUUGAGAGGUCAUCGAGUCCAGUCCCCUGCCCUCAUGGCAGGACCAAAUACUGUCUAGACCAUCCCUAAUAGACAUUUAUCUAACCUACUCUUAAAUAUCUCCAGAGAUGGAGAUUCCACAACUUCCCUAGGCAAUCUAUUCCAGUGUUUAACUACCCUGACAGUUAGGAACUUUUUCCUAAUGUCCAACCUAAAUCUCCCUUGCUGCAGUUUAAGCCCAUUGCUUCUUGUUCUAUCAUUGGAGGCUAAGGUGAACAAGUUUUCUCCCUCCUCCUGAUGACACCCUUUUAGAUACCUGAAAACUGAUAUCAGGUCCCCUCUCAGUCUUCUCUUUUCCAAACUAAAUAAACCCAAUUCCUUCAGCCUUCCUUCA
rnacentral:lncRNA from 1 species